GAUUUCUGGUUUGAUGUUGUUGGCCCGCUGGCACUCGCUGGCUGGUGCCGACUUGCGUCUACCAUCUUUCUAGAGAACUAGCAUGCCCUUCAAUGGAGCGUACUAGGGAUCUAGAUCUUUUACUUUGAAAAAAUUAGAGUGUUUAAAGCAGGCAAUUUUGCUAUGAAUACAUUAGCAUGGAAUAAUAAUUUAGGACUUUAGUUCUAUUUUGUUGGUCUUCUAGAACUGAAGUAAUGAUUGAUAGGGAUAGUUGGGGGUGCUCGUAUUCAGUGGCCAGAGGUGAAAUUCUCGGAUUCACUGAAGACGAACUUAUGCGAAAGCAUU
rnacentral:rRNA from 1 species